GCUCGCAGAUCCCAGCCUGCCCGUCCCCUCCGACAGGAGCUUGGUGCUUCUCUCCACUCCUCCCAGAAACUAAUUGCCAGCAUGUCUGAUACCGAGGAAGUGGAGCAAGGAGAGGAGGAGUACGAAGAAGAAGGUAACAAAAAAAGUGGAACGCAGUUUAUCUUUCUUUGAUUCUUGGUCCUGCUUUUCUCUUGUUUACAUUUCACCCUUCUCUUUGGUGCUUGCUGCUAAAGGCAAUCUGAAACACUUGAUCAGUAAACCAGUUGGAAAACAAAGAGAAACAAUCAAUUUUUGGGGGGCUGUGAUGUGCAGAGCCUUAAUGUUACAGUGAAAUGGAGUAUUUGUAUGAGGGGAUGGUGAAAAAGCUGGGGGCUAAUCUGUCCAUAAACUUGGAACUUUUUAGGAGCAGAGACUGGUGCAAAGCCCCCAUAAGGUAUCAUUGGUGAAAUCCUGCCAUUCUCAUUUUGGCAGUGUCCACAGAUUGAGUUUAAAUUUUGAAAUUGCAAAGAAGAGCAGGUUGUCCAGCUCCUGAGGAGCAGCUGACAGGACACUGCUGAGGAUAGAAAAAGCAAGGCAGAGAACCAACUGGCAAAGAUGAAGUUUCCUAC
rnacentral:lncRNA from 1 species